GAUGAACGCUGGCGGCGUGCUUAACACAUGCAAGUCGAACGGAAAGGCCAGUGCUUGCCCUGGUACUCGAGUGGCGAACGGGUGAGUAACACGUGGGUGAUCUGCCCUGUACUACGGGAUAAGCUUGGGAAACUGGGUCUAAUACCGGAUAGGACAACUUUUUGGAUAUUGUUGUGGAAAGCUUUUGCGGUAUGGGAUGAGCUCGCGGCCUAUCAGCUUGUUGGUGGGGUAAUGGCCUACCAAGGCGUCGACGGGUAGCCGGCCUGAGAGGGUGUACGGCCACAUUGGGACUGAGAUACGGCCCAGACUCCUACGGGAGGCAGCAGUGGGGAAUAUUGCACAAUGGGCGCAAGCCUGAUGCAGCGACGCCGCGUGGGGGAUGAAGGCCUUCGGGUUGUAAACUCCUUUCGCUAGGGACGAAGCGCAAGUGACGGUACCUGGAGAAGAAGCACCGGCUAACUACGUG
rnacentral:rRNA from 1 species